rnacentral:rRNA from 1 species
UACGGAGGGUGCAAGCGUUAUCCGGAUUCACUGGGUUUAAAGGGUGCGUAGGAGGGCAGGUAAGUCAGUGGUGAAAUCUUCGAGCUUAACUCGGAAACUGCCGUUGAUACUAUCUGUCUUGAAUACCGUGGAGGUGAGCGGAAUAUGUCAUGUAGCGGUGAAAAUGCUUAGAUAUGACAUAGAACACCAAUUGCGAAGGCAGCUCGCUACACGAAUAUUGACUCUGAGGCACGAAAGCGUGGGGAUCAAACAGG